rnacentral:rRNA from 1 species
GACGAACGCUGGCGGCGUGCUUAACACAUGCAAGUCACGGGGGUGCAGCAAUGCACAACCGGCGAACGGGUGCGUAACACGUGAGCAACCUACCGAUUUGUGGGGGAUAGCCGGCCCAACGGCCGGGUAAUACCGCAUGUGAUGAUCGGCCCACAUGGGCCGAUCAUCAAAGUCGUAUAGACGCAAAUCGAGGGGCUCGCGGCCUAUCAGCUAGUUGGCGAGGUCACGGCUCACCAAGGCGACGACGGGUAGCUGGUCUGAGAGGAUGGCCAGCCACACUUGGGACUGAGAAACGGCCCAGACUCCUACGGGAGGCAGCAGUGGGGAAGUCUUGCGCAAUGGGCGAAAGCCUGACGCAGCGACGCCGC